rnacentral:lncRNA from 1 species
CGAGGGGCAAUCUGUUCCAUGCCUCUCCUGUAGCCUCUGGUGGUUUAUUGGCAACCUUUGGUGUUACUAGGCUGUAGACACAUCACCCUGACUUCUGCCUUCAUGUUCAUGUGACGUUCUCACUGUGUGGUUGUCUGCCUCUGUGUCCACAUUUCCUCUUUGUGAGGACACCAGUUCUAUGGGAUUAGGACUCACCCUAAUGGCCUCCUAUUAACUAAUUACAUCUGUAAUGACCCCAUUUCCAAAUAAGGUCACGUUCUGAGAUAUUGGUUUUUGUGGGACACAAUUCAGCCCAUGAGAAGCUCUGACACUUUGCUAUUAAAUGUAUUUGCCACGAUAACCUUUACUAGGUAAGUUCUUUUCCAUUUCCAGCUUGCUUAAAAGCUGUUAUCAUAGAUGUUAACCUUUAGUCAAUGUUUUUAUGUACUUAAUGAGAUUUACUAUAUGGCUUUUCAUAAUCUGCAGUGAUUUAUUCUAAUAGCUUUUCUAUUUUAGUCCAUGCCUGACUUUUCAGAAUAAACCCAAAUUGAUCAUGAUUUUAAUACAUUAUUGCUAAUAAUAUUUUAGAAGACAGUUUCUGCAUCUAUGUUCAUAAGAAAGAUUGGCCUAUAAGGUUUAUUGUUGUUAUUAUUGUUACUGGAUUGCCUUUGCUUUUAAUAUUGUUAAAAUGGCCCCAUGAAGUGAGGUGGGGACUAUGACAGAGAUUGUUAGUUGUUUCACGUUGGGAUGUUGAAAAUGUUCUGGAGAUGGAUGGUGAUGAUGGUUGCAUGACAGUAUGAAUGUACUUCAUGCCACUGAACUUACACACUUAAAAAUGGUUAAAAUGGUGUGGUGCCUGGGUGGCUCAAUUGGUUAAGCAUCUGACUUCCUUUUUUUUUUUUUUUGGCCCAGGUCAUGAUUUCAGAGUUCAUGAGCUCAAGCCCUACGAUGGGCUCAGACAGCAUAGAGUCUGCUUGAGAUUCUUUCUCUCUCUCUCUUUCUCAAAAUAAAUAAAAAUUUUUAAAAAAUAGUUAAAAUGGUAAAUCCUAUGUUAUGUAUGUUUUACCACACACGCAUACAAAAACCCUAUCCACAGCUAACAUCCUACUUAACGAUGAAGGACUAAAAGCUUUCCUCUUAAGAUUGUGAAUAAAACAGGCACGUUUGUUCUUGCCAUCCUUAUUCAGCAUUGUACUGGAGAUUCCAGGCAGGGCAAUUAUGAAAGAAAAAGGCAUCUAGAUUAGAAAGGAAAAAAUAAAACUGCCUCUAUUUAAAGAUGACAUGGGGCGCCUGGGUGGCUCAGUCGGUUAAGCGUCUGACUGUUGAUCUCAGCUCAGGUCUUGAUCUCAGUGUUGUGAGUUCAAGCCCCUCAUUGAGCUCCAUGCUGGGUGUGAAGCCUACUUUAAAAAAAAAAGUGACCUGAUUUAUAUAUAGGAAAUUCUAAAGACACACACACACACACACACACACACACACACACCUAAUAGCUGAUAACCAAAUUCAGCAAGGUUUCAGGAUAUAAGAUUAAUGUACAAAAAUCAUUUGUAUUUCUGUACACUAACAGUGAAAAAUUUGAAAAUGAAAUUUAGAAAACAGUUUCAUUUACAGUAGUAUCAAAAAGAAUUCUUAGGGAUUAUCUUUUUACAGAGAAGUACAGGACUUAUCCACUGAAAACCACAAAAUAUUGUUGAAAGAAAUUAAGGAAGACCUAAAUAAGUAGAAAGACAUCCCAUUUUCAUGGAUUGGAAGACAAUAAUAAGAUGGCACUACUCCCCAAAUUGAUCUAAAAGUUCAACACAAUCCCAAGCAAAAUCCCAGAUGCCUUUUUUUUUUUUUUUUAAAGAAAUGGACAAGCAGGGGUGCACGGGUGGCCAGGCCAGUUGAGCGUCUGACUCUUGAUAUCAGCUUGGGUUAUGAUCUCAACACGUUCAUGAGUUUAAGCCCCACAUCAGGUUCCAUGCUGACAGUGCAAAGCCUGCUUGCGAUUCUCUCUCUGUCUCAAAAUAAGUAAACUUAAAAAAAAGGACAAGCAGAUUUUAAAAUUCAUAUGGAAUUGCAAGGGACCUUAAAUAGCCAAAACAGUCUUUAAAAAGAUCAAAGAUGGAGAAGUCACAUUUCCCUAUUUCAAGCCUACUACAAAUCUACAAUAAUCCAGAUAGUGUGCUAUUAGCAUAAGGAUAAACCUGUAGAUCAGUGGAAUAGAAUCGAGAUUCCAGAAGUAAACUCAUCAACUAUGGCCUAUGGAUUUUCAACAGAAGUCCCAAGAUCACACAAUGGGGAAAAGAUGAUUUCCACAAAUGGUGCUCAAAAAACUGAAAAUCCACAUGCAAGAGAAUGAAUUAGAUCCCUGCCUUAUACCAUAUACAAAAGUUAACUCAGUGGAUACAAGGCCUAACUGUAAGAGCUUAAGUCAGAAAACUCUUAAAACAUAGGUGUAAAUCUUUGUGACUUUGUAUAAUGCAAUAGUUUCUUAGCUAUGACAUCAAAAGCACAAGCAACAAAAUAAAAAAUAGAUCAAUUGAACUAUACCAAAGUGAAAAACUUUUAUGUGUCAAUAUGUAUAUCAAGAGAGUGAAAAGACAAUACACAGAGUGGGAGAAAAUAUUUACAGACUACAAUUGGAUAAAGGUCUAGUAUCCAUGAUAUAUAAGGAAUUCUUACAACCUAAAAAUUAAAACAGCCUAAUUAAAAAUGGCGAAAGGUAUUGAAGAGACCUUCUCCAACAAAGAUCUACAAAUGGCCAGGAAGUACAUGAGAAGAUGCUCAACAUCAUUUGUCAUUAGAGAAAUGCACAUCAAAACCACAGUUAGAUACCACUUCACUCCUACUAGGAUUGCUGUAAUGAAAAAAGACAAUACAAGUGUUAGUGAGAAUGUGGAGAAACUGGAACAUUGCUGAUAGGAAUGUAAGGUGGUGCAUUUGCUUUGGAAAAUAGUUGGAUGGUUCCUCAAAACAGAAUUAUCAUAUGAUGCAGCAAUCUACUCCUAGAUAUAGAUCCAAGAGAACUAAAAACAUAUGCUCCAACAAAAACCGGUACAUGAAUAUUCAUAACAGAAUUACUCAUAAUACUCCAACAGUGGGAACAACCCAAAUGCCCGUCAACUGAUACAUGGAUAAACAAAAUAUGGUAUAUUCAUACAAUGCAAUAUUAUUUGACCAUAAAAACAAAGGAUGUUCAUAAAAACAAAUGCUACACAUGGAUGAAAUCUUGAAAACAUGCUAAGUGAAAGAAGCCAGACACAAAAGGUCACAGAUUAUAUAAUUCCAUUCAUAUGAAAUGUCCAGAAUAAGCAAAUCCAUAAAGGCAGAUUAGUGGUCACUGGGGAGCUAGGGGGAGCUGAGGGGAGAGGGGAAUCAGGAGUGACUGUUUCAUGGAUAUGAGGUGAUUUUUUGUUAAGUUUUUUUAAUGUUUAUUUUGAUUUUUGAGAGAGAGAGAGAGUGCGAGUAGGGGAGGGGCAGAGAGACGGAGACACAGAAUUCAAAGCAGGCUCCAGGCUCUGAGCUGUCAGUACAGAGUCCGAUGCGGGGCUCAAACCCAUGGACCAAGAGGUUAUAACCUGAGCCAAAGUCAGACGCUUAACUGACUGAGCCACCCAGGCCCCCCAAUAUGGGGUGAUUUUUGAGGAUGAUGAAAAUGUUCUGCAGUUAGUUAGUGGUGAUCGUUGCUCAUAUUUACGAACAAUCUAAAACCCACUAAAUUGUACACUUUAAAAUGGUGAACUUCACCGAAGAGAUUAUAUAGAUGAAAAGUGAGCACAUGAAAAUAUGUUCAACAUAUUAAGGAAAUGCAAUUUAAAGCCAUUGUGAUAGGGGCACCUGGGUGGUUCAGCCAGUUAAGCGUCUGACCUUGGCUCAGGUCAUGAUCUCACGGUUCGUGGGUUCGAGCCCUGCGUUGGGCUCUGUGCUGACAGCUCAGAGCCUGGAACCUGCUUCAGAUUCUGCGUCUCCCUCUUUGCCCCUCCCCUACUCACACUCUGUCUCUCUCUCUGUCUCUCUCUCUCUCAAAACUAAGUAAACAUUAAUAAAAAAUUAAAAAAAUAAAGCCAUCGUGGUAAGAAAGAGGAGCCCAAAGAGAUAGGAUGCCUAAAUGUUAUAUGAUGUCUGAGAAGGGAUCCUGAAACAGAAAAAGGACCUUCGCAAAAAUCUAAGGAAAUCUGAAUGAAGUAUGGAGCUUAGUUAAUAAUAGUGUGUGAGUUUUGGUUCAUUAGUUGUCCCAAGUGAACCAUGUUAAAAAGGGUUAGUUUGGGGGGAUGAUGAAGCCGUUCUUCAUCUUGACUGUGAUUAAUCUAUACAUGUGUUAAAAUUCAUAAAAAUGCACAACAAAAAUAGUGAAUUUUACUGAAUGUUUUUUUUUUUUUUUAAAUUUUUUUUUUUUUCAACGUUUAUUUAUUUUUGGGACAGAGAGAGACAGAGCAUGAACGGGGGAGGGGCAGAGAGAGAGGGAGACACAGAAUCGGAAACAGGCUCCAGGCUCUGAGCCAUCAGCCCAGAGCCCGACGCGGGGCUCGAACUCACGGACCGCGAGAUCGUGACCUGGCUGAAGUCGGACGCUUAACCGACUGAGCCACCCAGGCGCCCCAUUGAAUGUUAAUUAAAAAAAAAAUAAAAUGUUUAAAUGGCUUGGAGGAAUUGGAGAGUAACUAAGAAUCAGUAGAACCCAGACAUUUGAUCCUUGAAAGACGUGAACUGCACUGGAUGAGAUCUGUUUCCAAAACUUUCUCCUUAGGACGCUCCCCAGUCCGCAAGGUGUGGGAUGGCUAGAACUCAUGCAGAAAGCCACAGACUUCUUGGCUUGAGAUAGAAGUGGACUUGGUAGGGGAGGGGCGGGGGGAUGGGUGAAGGUAGUCGAAAGGUACAAACUCCCAGUUAUAAAAUAAUAAGUCCUGGGAAUGUGAAGUACAUAUGGCAACUAUAGUUUUUUACGAAAAGAUAUUGGUGGAUAAAGUUCAAUGCUGUCAGAGCAGCCGGAUAUUGAGGGAGAAAACCCAGAGAGGAGGAAGCUGAAGAGAAGAAAUCCCCUAAAUCUGCGUAUGAAAUCCCUCAAUUCCUUGUCCAGUGGAAAGCAACAGCUCAAAGGCAGGAAGCAAAAGGCAGAUAUUUCAACUGCUGCCUGCCACAAGAGAGACAGAAUUUGUAGUUUGAUUUUCAUAAACUCAGAAGAGCUUGGACUGUCCACUGAAAUCCCAAAAGGGCCAUGUUCUGGAAGACCAAGUGGCAGGACUAAGAAAUUCACUUUAAUAAUAAUGGGGAAACUUAAACUCACCAUGACGAAGGUUGAACCAAAACUAUACAAAUACAAGGUCAAGUUCAAGCUAUUUUUUUUAAUUUCAAUGCUUUUCUUUUUAAGUGUUUAUUUUUGAGAGAGACAGAAGUGAGCAGGAGAGGAGCAGAGAAAGAGGGAGAUACAGAAUCUGAAGCAGGCUCCAAGUUGUCAGCACAGAGCCCAAUGCAGGGCUUGAACUCACAAACCAUGAUCAUGACCUGAACCGAAGUCAGACACUUAACCGACUGAGCCACCCAGGUGCCCCAAGUUCAAGUUACUAAUUUGACUGUCUACUAAUACAAAAAUCAAUGUUCUUCAGAAGAUAAAAGAAUCCAGAAUCCGUAUAAUGUAUCAUCCCCAAUGUCCAGUAUAGAAUUUUUUUAAAUCCUAGACUGCUCCCCCCACUGCAAAUGUAAUUCAGUGUUAAUAGAAAGGUCAGACAGUAGCAGUAAAUACUAAGACCACCCAAAUGUUGGUGGGGGAGGGGUGUCUUUGAAGCAGCUAUUAUAAAUAUCUACAAAAGAGUUUAAGGAAAAGAGUGCUAAUGAAUACAUGAAGGAGAAAUCUUAAUACAGAAAAAAAUACUUAAAAAAUAGAAAUCAAGAACUGAAAAUAAAAUUAAAAAUUCAGUGAGUGAGUUUAACAGCAAAUUAAUGAUGUCCAAAGAAAGGGUCAAUGAAAGAAAAUAUUGAGAAGAGACUGAGAAAAAAAUAUUGAAGAAAAAUGACCUAUUAAUAUUUAGGUGAUGGCAUUAAUUGGAGCUCCGGGAGGGGAGGAGAAAGGAAACAGGGUAGAAAAAAUGUGAUGAAUUAAUGGCUACAUAUAUAUGUAUGUAUGCAUAUAUAAUUUGUUUCCCUAUAUCUUGUAGACAAAAAAUUUCAGAUUCAAAAUCUCAGGGAAGCAUAAGAUAGGUAAAUAUGAAUAAAACCACUCUUAGGCAUGUCACAAUCAAACUGUUGAAAAGAGAGAUAAAGAGAAAAUAUUGAAAGUGGCCUAAGAUGACAACCACAUGACAUGUUGGAGAACAAUGUUUUCCGUUCUCAUGGACUUCUCACCUGAAACCAUGAAGGUCAGGCGAUAGUGGGGGAAUCUUCAAAGUUCUGAAAGAAAAACCCAUUAAUACGGAAUUCUGUAUCCAAUAGGAUGAAUGAAAAUGAUAUCAGAGAAAACCUCAGACCGUCAUGAAUGAAUAAAGAGGACAAACAAAAACCAGAACAGUUCCAGUGGCUACCAGAGAAGAGGUGGAUGGAAGGAUGGGUGAAAUAGAUAAAUGCAAUUAAGAGUACUCACCUUGACGAGCCCUGAGAAAGGCACAGAAUCGUCAGAUCAUCAUGUUGUACGCCUGAAACUAAUAUAACAUUGUAUGUUAAAUAUACUUCAAUUUGGUAUAUGUCUGAGUAGAUAUAGAAGACUACUUUGUCUUCCUUCUCUAAAAGGACACUUUUUUUUUUUUAAUGUUUAUGGAUUUCUUUUGAGAGACUACGCGCAUGUGCAUGUGCUGUGCUGUCAACCAGAGCCCUGUGCAGGGCUCGAUCUCACAAAGUGUGAGAUCAUGACCUGAGCCAAUAUCAAAAGUGGGAUGCUUAACCGACUAGGCCACCCGAGACGCCCCAAGAUAGGACACUUUAAAGCAAAAAUUAUAACAUUACCUUGUGGCUUAUAAAGUAUGUAAGUAUAAAGUAUGUAAAGUAUAACAUGUAUAACAAAUACAGCAUAAAAAAUAAAGUAGGGGGGGGCGCCUGGGUGGCGCAGUCGGUUAAGCGUCCGACUUCAGCUCAGGUCACGAUCUUGCGGU